rnacentral:rRNA from 1 species
GAUGAACGCUGGCGGCGUGCCUAAUACAUGCAAGUCGAGCGAACAGAUGAGGAGCUUGCUCCUCUGACGUUAGCGGCGGACGGGUGAGUAACACGUGGAUAACCUACCUAUAAGACUGGGAUAACUUCGGGAAACCGGAGCUAAUACCGGAUAAUAUAUUGAACCGCAUGGUUCAAUAGUGAAAGACGGUUUUGCUGUCACUUAUAGAUGGAUCCGCGCCGCAUUAGCCAGUUGGUAAGGUAACGGCUUACCAAGGCAACGAUGCGUAGCCGACCUGAGAGGGUGAUCGGCCACACUGGAACUGAGACACGGUCCAGACUCCUACGGGAGGCAGCGGUAGGGAAUCUUCCGAAAUGGGCGAAAGCCUGACGGAGCAACGCGGGGUGAGUGAUGAAGGUCUUCGGAUCGUAAAACUCUGUUAUUAGGGAAGAACAAAUGUGUAAGUAACUAUGCACGUCUGGACGGUACCUAAUCAGAAAGCCACGGCUAACUACGU